rnacentral:rRNA from 1 species
AUGAGUUCCUCCGACGACAUCGCCGGUGGAAAGAAGACUUCGUGGCCGGAGGUGGUCGGGCUGACCAUCAAGGAGGCCAAGGAGAUCAUCCUCAAGGACAAGCCCGACGCCGACAUCGUCGUGGUGCCGGUCGGCUCCGCCGUGACCGAGGACUUGAGGCCCAACCGUGUCCGCAUCUUCGUGGGCACCGUCGCCGAGACCCCCCACGUUGGAUAG